rnacentral:rRNA from 1 species
UGGGGAAUAUUGGACAAUGGGCGCAAGCCUGAUCCAGCCAUGCCGCGUGUGUGAAGAAGGCCUUUUGGUUGUAAAGCACUUUAAGCGAGGAGGAGGCUACUUGGAUUAAUACUCUAGGAUAGUGGACGUUACUCGCAGAAUAAGCACCGGCUAACUCUGUGCCAGCAGCCGCGGUAAUACAGAGGGUGCGAGCGUUAAUCGGAUUUACUGGGCGUAAAGCGUGCGUAGGCGGCUUCUUAAGUCGGAUGUGAAAUCCCUGAGCUUAACUUAGGAAUUGCAUUCGAUACUGGGAAGCUAGAGUAUGGGAGAGGAUGGUAGAAUUCCAGGUGUAGCGGUGAAAUGCGUAGAGACCUGGAGGAAUACCGAUGGCGAAGGCAGCCAUCUGGCCUAAUACUGACGCUGAGGUACGAAAGCAUGGGGAGCAAACAGG